AUCCAGCUGACAAGUCCCAAAUAGGACGAAACGCUCGUCGAAAUGAAU
rnacentral:hammerhead_ribozyme from 1 species